rnacentral:tRNA from 2 species
CGGGGCAUAGCUCAGCCUGGUAGAGCACCUGCUUUGGGAGCAGGGGGUCCGGAGUUCGAAUCCCCGUGCCCCGACCA